AAAGGACAAAAAAGGGGAAAAGAUUUGCCCAGACCAAGAUAUACAGAUAACAGAUUUGAAAUUAACUUUUAUUGAUGAUAAUGAAAAAUUUGUAUUGGUGAGGAAAUGAGGAGUAAAACAAUUGUACAGAUUCCCUUAAACAAAGGUACCUUUAUGAGUGCAAGAUAAAGCACUAUGUUGUAUAAAGAAACACUGUUGCAAUGUGACUCAUAAGGUGAAAUGUUGCUAUUGUUGGCAGAGACUGGACAAUGUGUGUGGCAUGCAGCUUCCCAAUGGUGAAAUUAAUUUAGUAUACAGUAUCAAGUCUUUUUG